GUCUACAGCCAUACCACCCUGAAUGCACUCGAUUUCGUCUGAUCUCAGAAGCUAAGCAGGGUUGGGCCUGGUUAGUACUUGGAUGGGAGAAAGGUUAUAAAUU
rnacentral:rRNA from 1 species